AUUAGACAAAGCAUUACCUUCGCGUCUAUUCAUCCGCUUCUCCUCAUUUUCAUGCCUCGCCUUGGAAUGUCGGAACCACUCCAUAACUCGUCGUUGUAUUUUUCUCUGGUCGGAAUCCGGGAUAUUGUGAAUUUCUGCAGUGGUUCCUUUCCGCGUCGGCCUUCCCAGUUAUAUCUCUCCGCCAAUUUAUUGGAGAAUACUUUAUACAAUGUUCUCUUUACGGCAUCAUCGACACUUGUCCCUCCGAUGGAUUUGAUAUAUCCGCGCUAUAAAAUAAAAAGUGUUAUGUUGGGAAUUUGACGCUUUCAAGAUCUCCUCAACUUCCGCUAACUGAGCUACGGUUUGCAAGGGAAACCGGUUUUCAGCGCCCUCAAAGGAAAUUUGUGUUCUCUCACAUUCUGUGUCUUUAUUAAUUUUGUCCACUAUGAUGUCUACUAAGGGCUGUUAUGCGGAUAUUCAUUGUCUGACCGACCAUGGGCAUGUAUCAAGCCAUCUCGAGUUUUCUCUCUUGGAGCAAUAAUAGUAC